GAAUUUAAGAAAGAAGUGAUUAUGCUGUUGAAAUCGUGAAGAUUUUACAGGAAAAGAGCUGAAGCAAUGCAUAUGGCUUCACAGCUGGAGACCACACUCCUCAGCCUCCUUACAACCAACCUGUCUUGUUUGAAUCCAUUCUCUUCAAGGGAAUGAGAACAAAAUUUACGUGUGCAGCUUCCAGCCCAUCAUCCAGUUCCCUGUCUUCUGCUAGCAGUACCCUGAUUUUGCUCUGUGGAAUCAUCCUCUUCCUGACUUUCAGCUCAUGUGCUUCUGGUAAUGAAUGGUGGCGCUUGGAUGUGGCUCCCAGCUUUCUGAAAGGAUACUCCAAAAAGAAUGUUCUAACCUCCAAAGUUGGUUUCCAUAAGGAAUUUAAAGAUUGUCCUGGGAUGAUGGACCCCACAGAAGUUAUAACAAGAAGAGGACAAGAGUGACCAUUAAGUAUGAACUUCUUUAGGAGAAUAUAACAGGUUUGGAAGAUCAAGGAAUGAAGUGGACUGGCUCUGGAACUAUCCUAAAGAGAAAUGUCAUGCCACGAGAUCCCAGGGUGUAUUCCAUGUCCUCAAUGCCGGAUAGAACAAAAAGGCACCAACGGUCGUGUUACUGCUUGUGGUGGCUCCCCUUAAAAACUCCAGGUGCUGGGAGAAUCAAACAGUUUAAUAUAUGUAAAAUGCUUAGGUAAGUACCUGGCUAUUUGGUA
rnacentral:lncRNA from 1 species